CUUGCUGCAGACCUUCCUCCCUGUGAUCGAUUCCAUCUUUUUGCCCUGCAGCAAUCUCUUCAGCAGCCAGCAAGCUCCCUGCGACCCGCUGGACGAACGAACUCCACACGGAGGGAAAAACCCUCAAAAGGCUCUGAAGGGGUUCUGCUGAAGACCGGCUGCAGCUUUGUUGGCUUGCUUGAGCAGCGUUGACUCUGGGGAGGCGGCGGCGCGGUGAGAACCAGGACGGUGACUGAUGGGUCCAGGAUGGGGAACAGGCAGCUGGAGUGGAUAAAACUCCUGAGGACGAAGCAAACGGCUCCGUCACACAACAGCAUGAAGACCAGGAACAGACGGUGAAAUUUCAUCCAGCCGUUUCUCUUUCGGACGGAGCGUCGCUGACAAACCUGCAGAAAAUGCCCCAAAGGUUACGCCCAUAAUUACACCCGUUUUACCUAAGAGGGAAGCGUGUCACAAAUCCAAUUCUGGUGAGAAAGAGGGACAUCCAAUCUGCAGAUGAAAAUGAGGUGCCUCCAGAACUGCAACAACA